rnacentral:lncRNA from 1 species
GGUUUCAAAAGAGAAAAAGAAAGAAUAAAAACUCGAGCUGGACCUAUGGGCCAAUAUGAAAACUGGGCUUUUUGGGCCAGUAAAACUAGGCUUAGGGGCCAAUAUGGAAAUUGGGCUUAGGGACCAAUAUGGAAAUUGGGCUUGGAGGCCAGUGUGGAAACUGGGCUUUAGGGACCAAUAUGAAAAUUGGGCUUGGACGCCAGUGUGGAAACUGGGCUUAUGGAAAUUGGGC